AGGAUGAACGCUGGCGGCGUGCUUAACACAUGCAAGUCGAACGAUGAAGCGGAGCUUGCUCUGUGGAUUAGUGGCGAACGGGUGAGUAACACGUGAGUAACCUGCCCUUGACUCUGGGAUAAGCACUGGAAACGGUGUCUAAUACCGGAUACGAGCUUCAGCCGCAUGGCUAGGAGUUGGAAAGAAUUUCGGUCAAGGAUGGACUCGCGGCCUAUCAGGUAGUUGGUGAGGUAAUGGCCCACCAAGCCUACGACGGGUAGCCGGCCUGAGAGGGUGACCGGCCACACUGGGACUGAGACACGGCCCAGACUCCUACGGGAGGCAGCAGUGGGGAAUAUUGCACAAUGGGCGCAAGCCUGAUGCAGCAACGCCGCGUGAGGGACGACGGCCUUCGGGUUGUAACCUCUUUUAGUAGGAAGAAGCGAAAGUGACGGUACCUGCAGAAAAGCACCGGCUAACUACGUGCCAGCAGCCGCGGU
rnacentral:rRNA from 1 species